CCGCGAAGGCAGAGGCUCUGUCGCUCCCCUUCACAAAAGGAAAAUCGCCGCAUGCGCAGUUUCCAACAACUCAACAUGCUGGCACUAUGUACAAAAAAGUAGAAAAUGCAGGAAAAUCAACCGAAGAUAAUUAGAAUAAACUGGAGUGCUGAAGGCAGCUGAAUCAAAAUAAAUAUACAAAGGUACACAGAGGAACACAUUGGCUCCAAGAUACUUCCUCUGGUUUAGGAAGGCGAGGCCCUGGAUAAGAAUGACAAUACGAUCAUUCCAAAAGG